rnacentral:rRNA from 1 species
AUUGAACGCUGGCGGAAUGCUUUACACAUGCAAGUCGAACGGCAGCACGGACUUCGGUCUGGUGGCGAGUGGCGAACGGGUGAGUAAUACAUCGGAACGUGCCCAGUCGUGGGGGAUAACGUAGCGAAAGCUACGCUAAUACCGCAUACGAUCUACGGAUGAAAGCGGGGGAUCGCAAGACCUCGCGCGAUUGGAGCGGCCGGUGGCAGAUUAGGUAGUUGGUGGGGUAAAGGCUCACCAAGCCGACGAUCUGUAGCUGGUCUGAGAGGACGACCAGCCACGAUGGGACUGAGACACGGCCAAGACUCCUACGGGAGGCAGCAGUGGGGAAUUUUGGACAAUGGGCGCAAGCCUGAUCCAGCCAUUCCGCGUGCAGGAUGAAGGCCCUCGGGUUGUAAACUGCUUUUGUACGGAACGAAAAGGCUCUGGUUAAUACCCGGGGCUCAUGACGGUACCGUAAGAAUAAGCACCGGCUAACUACGUGCCAGCCGCCGCAGUAAUAC